CACAUUGAUGGGUUUCUGUCUGAUAUAUGGACAAAAACUUUGAGACAGAUGCAAAAAAAAAAUUAUCUUUUGCAAUCCAAAACUCAUACGUACAGUACUCUGUAUGAGUUCUGAUACAGAAGAGAAAAACAUG